rnacentral:tRNA from 1 species
GAGGGUGUAGCUCAGUGGUAGAGUGCAUGCCUAGCAUGCAUGAGGUCCUGGGUUCAAUCCCCAGUACUUCCA